rnacentral:rRNA from 1 species
CCCAGUCCGCUCUCGCUACGUAGAGCGUGAUAGUGUGACGGCGGAUCGGAAGGUGCUCCUUGCCGGCGAGUGGCGCACGGUUGAGUAAUAUAUCGGAACGUGCCCAGUAGCGGGGGAUAACUACUCGAAAGAGUGGCUAAUACCGCAUACGCCCUACGGGGGAAAGGGGGGGAUCGCAAGACCUCUCACUAUUGGAGCGGCCGAUAUCGGAUUAGCUAGUUGGUGGGGUAAAGGCUCACCAAGGCAACGAUCCGUAGCUGGUUUGAGAGGACGACCAGCCACACUGGGACUGAGACACGGCCCACACUCCUACGGGAGGCAGCAGUGGGGAAUUUUGGACAAUGGGGGAAACCCUGAUCCAGCCAUCCCGCGUGUAUGAUGAAGGCCUUCGGGUUGUAAAGUACUUUUGGCAGAGAAGAAAAGGUAUCCCCUAAUACGGGAUACUGCUGACGGUAUCUGCAGAAUAAGCACCGCGUAACUACGUGCCAGCAGCCGCGGUAAUACGUAGGGUGCAAGCGUUAAUCGCAAUUACUGGGCGUAUAGCGUGUGCAGGCGGGUCGGAAAGAAAGAUGUGAAAUCCCAGGGCUCAACCUUGGGACUGCAUUUUUAACUGCCGAGCUAGAGUAUGUCAGAGGGGGGUAGAAUUCCACGUGUAGCAGUGAAAUGCGUAGAUUGUGGAGGAAUACCGAUGGCGAAGGCACCCCCCUGGGAUAAUACCGACGCUCAGACACGAAAGCGUGGGAGC